CAGUCGCCGCGGGAAUACGUAGGGUGCGAGCGUUAAUCGGAAUUACUGGGCGUAAAGCGUGCGCAGGCGGUUAUAUAAGACAGAUGUGAAAUCCCCGGGCUCAACCUGGGACCUGCAUUUGUGACUGUAUAGCUAGAGUACGGUAGAGGGGGAUGGAAUUCCGCGUGUAGCAGUGAAAUGCGUAGAUAUGCGGAGGAACACCGAUGGCGAAGGCAAUCCCCUGGACCUGUACUGACGCUCAUGCACGAAAGCGUGGGGAGCAAACAGGAUUAGAUACCCCGGUAGUCCCUGUCUCUUAUAC
rnacentral:rRNA from 1 species